rnacentral:tRNA from 1 species
UAGGGAGACCUACACCCCUUACAAAUCGAAAAACAAAAAGUUUUAUAGAUAGUAAGUUGGUCUAACCGAGGUCGGUCGCAGACAUUUGCAAAAAGUAGAAAGCUUUCAAACUAUGAUUUGGUUCUUUUGGGCUAUUAGCUCAGGUGGUUAGAGCGCACCCCUGAUAAGGGUGAGGUCCCUGGUUCGAGUCCAGGAUGGCCCACCUGAAGAAGUCAAAAGUUAAAAGUCAAAAGUCAAAGGUAAAUACUUUUGGAUUAUGAGUUUUGAGUUUUGAAUUGAUUCUGGGGGUUUAGCUCAGUUGGUAGAGCGCCUGCUUUGCAAGCAGGAUGUCAGCGGUUCGAGUCCGCUAACCUCCACCUGUGGGGAAUGCCAAAAUUAAAAGAAAGAGAAAUCAGCAACAUGACUUAAUAGAAGUCAGACUGCUGAGAAAAAUCUCAGCCAGAACCUUGAAAACUGCAUAG